GUUGCCCAAUUAUCUGCUUCCCAUAAUGUUGAGUACACGCCCAUCGGCUGGAACUUGGGAUAUGGGAUUCCUUUGGCUUCAUUAUUCUUGUAGACCCUUAUUGGCACGUCAUCUACAUAAAACCUGCAACCCCACCACCAAUAACAUCAUUAAGAUCUGCUAAUAACAUCUUUACAACUAAUACCGAUCAAUCUAAAUAAGUGUAGCCUCCCAAUUAAUGGAUAUUGACCUUAUGAGAGGAAACUCCAUUAGUUAAUUAAUUACAUGGUGUACAAACCACAACAGAUGCCCUCUUAUUAAUUAAGCUCUCGUUGAUUGAUGAUGGGUGAUAUUUAUUCUGCAAAUUAACUUACACA
rnacentral:lncRNA from 1 species